rnacentral:rRNA from 1 species
UGAGCAAUCUGCCCUUCUCAUCGGAAUAACCAUUGGAAACGAUGGCUAAUGCCGAAUACGACCUCCUUUCGCAUGAUCGGAGGUGGAAAGCUCCGGCGGAGAAGGAUGAGCUCGCGGCCUAUCAGCUAGUUGGUGUGGGUAAUGGCCCACAAGGCGACGACGGGUAGCCGGCCUGAGAGGGUGACCGGCCACACGUGGGACUGAGACACGGCCCAGCUCCGUAGGGACG